UAAGAAGGGAGGAAGGAGUGGGAGGGAGGCGGAAGGGGGGUCCCUGUCUCAGCAGGGGCAGAAGGGCUGUGCUGAACGCCCAGGGAAGGUGAGGAGGAAAACGUUGGAUCUCAGAGAAGAGAAGAGGGAGCUGCAGGAGGUGAAUGGGACCAUCUGUGUCUGUCAGAACUGUCACCCAGAGGAGCUGGCAGCCCCAGGAGCCCUGAAGGAGCCACUGACCCCAGAGAGAGCCCUGCGGGAGGCAGCGACGUGUGUGUGGGAUCCAGCCCGGCCACCAUCUCCUUCCCCUUCUACACCUGGGUUGAGCCAUGCCACAGGUGCACAGAGAAGGGGUGAGCACCUGUGCCACCGCUCAGCCUCUUCCCUGCCCCCAAGCACUGUGCCCGGCCUCCAGCAGCAGCAGCAGCACACGGCGCUGGGGAUCCUGCACCACAUCCAGCGCUGCCUGCGGGAGCUGCAAGUAGAGGACCUCGGUGUGCUGGGAGCAGAGCUGGGCACCACAGCAAAUGAGGAGAGGUUCCUGAUGCCACCUCUUGACAUUCCUCCAAGCCCCAACAGGAACAAGCUCGCUGCUGCGACCAGGACUCGAGAUGAAGCAUGGAGGAGAAUGCCCAAGGAGAGUUUCUCUGCAUGCGAGGGGGGAAAUGAGAAUUUCAUGCAGUACUGAUUGCUGCACUUCCUUGCUGGAGGAGGCAGGGAGUGAAAAUGGAAAUCUUUGUCUGCUUUCUUCCCAAUCAAAAUAAAAAUGUUCCUCAUUAUAUUUUUCUGGACUGGGG
ensembl:lncRNA